rnacentral:rRNA from 1 species
GGGUUGUGAGGUUAAGCGACUAAGCGUACACGGUGGAUGCCCUGGCAGUCAGAGGCGAUGAAGGACGUGCUAAUCUGCGAUAAGCGCCGGUAAGGUGAUAUGAACCGUUAUAACCGGCGAUUUCCGAAUGGGGAAACCCAGUGUGACUCGUCACACUAUCAUUAACUGAAUCCAUAGGUUAAUGAGGCGAACCGGGGGAACUGAAACAUCUAAGUACCCCGAGGAAAAGAAAUCAACCGAGAUUCCCCCAGUAGCGGCGAGCGAACGGGGAUGAGCCCAGAGCCUGAAUCAGCAUGUGUGUUAGUGGAAGCGUCUGGAAAGGCGCGCGAUACAGGGUGACAGCCCCGUACACAAAAGCGCAUAUGCUGUGAGCUCGAUGAGUAGGGCGGGACACGUGGUAUCCUGUCUGAAUAUGGGGGGACCAUCCUCCAAGGCUAAAUACUCCUGACUGACCGAUAGUGAACCAGUACCGUGAGGGAAAGGCGAAAAGAACCCCGGCGAGGGGAGUGAAAAAGAACCUGAAACCGUGUACGUACAA